UACGUAGGGGGCAAGCGUUGUCCGGAAUUAUUGGGCGUAAAGAGCGCGUAGGCGGUCCGAUAAGUCGGCUGUGAAAGUCCAGGGCUCAACCCUGGAAAGCCGGCCGAUACUGUCGGACUAGAGUCCGGAAGAGGCGAGUGGAAUUCCCGGUGUAGCGGUGAAAUGCGCAGAUAUCGGGAGGAAUACCGGUGGCGAAGGCGGCAUUCUGGACCGACAUUGACACUAAAGCGCGAAAGCCAGGGGAGCAAACGGG
rnacentral:rRNA from 1 species